CUUGACCGACCCCAGGUACACGGGCCGGUCCGCGGGCCGGUCCUGGCCGUAGGUGGCCAGCAGCGCCUCGGCCUC
rfam:Frankia sp. EI5c TG55_1008, whole genome shotgun sequence.